rnacentral:pre_miRNA from 1 species
AUCAUACUCCCUCCAUCUCAAAUUACUCGUCGCAGAAAUGGAUGUAUCUAGAACUAAAAUACAUCUAGAUACAUCCAUACCUGCGACAAGUAAUUCGGGAUGGAGGGAGUACAUG